rnacentral:rRNA from 1 species
CCUACGGGAGGCAGCAGUGGGGAAUAUUGGACAAUGGGCGAAAGCCUGAUCCAGCCAUGCCGCGUGUGUGAAGAAGGCCUUCGGGUUGUAAAGCACUUUCAGUGGGGAAGAAAGCCUUGGGGCUAAUACCCUCGAGGAAGGACAUCACCCACAGAAGAAGCACCGGCUAACUCCGUGCCAGCAGCCGCGGUAAUACGGAGGGUGCGAGCGUUAAUCGGAAUUACUGGGCGUAAAGCGCGCGUAGGCGGUCUGAUAAGCCGGUUGUGAAAGCCCCGGGCUCAACCUGGGAACGGCAUCCGGAACUGUCAGGCUAGAGUGCAGGAGAGGAAGGUAGAAUUCCCGGUGUAGCGGUGAAAUGCGUAGAGAUCGGGAGGAAUACCAGUGGCGAAGGCGGUCUUCUGGACUGACACUGACGCUGGGGUGCGAAAGCGUGGGUAGCAAACAGGAUUAGAUACCCCAGUAGUC